UGGCCACCAGAUCACCCUUUAAGUCCUAAAACACUUACUGAGCACUUAAUAUGUGCUAAGCACUGUUCCAGGUGUUAGUAAUAAAGCAAUCAAGGAAAAAGAGGUGCUACUGAAGCAAAAAAUCUGCAGACAGAGAAUAAGCUCUACAGGUACCUGGGGAAGAGCAUUCUAGUCGGCUGGUGAAACAGCGAAUGCAAAGGCCCAGAGCCAAGAGCA
rnacentral:lncRNA from 10 species